rnacentral:rRNA from 1 species
CGUAGGGGGCAAGCGUUGUCCGGAUUUAUUGGGCGUAAAGAGCGUGUAGGCGGCCUGGUAGGUCAGCUGUGAAAACUCGAGGCUCAACCUCGAGACGCCGGUUGAAACCAUCAGGCUAGAGUCCGGAAGAGGAGAGUGGAAUUCCCGGUGUAGCGGUGAAAUGCGCAGAUAUCGGGAAGAACACCCGUGGCUAAGGCGGCUCUCUAGUACGGUACUGACGCUGAGACGCGAAAGCGUGGGGAGCGAACAGG